rnacentral:rRNA from 1 species
UAGGAUUCCCUCAGUAGCUGCGAGCGAACAGGGAGAAGCCCAGCACCGAAUCCCGCGGCCGAUACCGGGCGCCGGGAAAUGUGGUGUUAGGGAGGAUCCGUCUAUCCCGAGGUCGUGCGGUGCGUCCAAGUCCUUCUUGAACGGGGCCACAGCCCAUAGAGGGUGCCAGGCCCGUAGCGACCGCUGCCGAUCGCGGGAGGAUCUCUCCUCAGAGUCGGGUUGCUUGAGAGUGCAGCCCUAAGUGGGUGGUAAACUCCAUCUAAGGCUAAAUAUGACCACGAGACCGAUAGCGAACAAGUACCGUGAGGGAAAGUUGAAAAGCACUUUGAAGAGAGAGUUCAAGAGUACGUGAAACCGUUCAGGGGUAAACCUGAGAAACCCGAAAGGUCGAAAGGGGAAAUUCAUUCGCGUUUCGGCCGCCGGCGUUGGAUGGUCGAGUGACGGACGGCGUACGCGUCGUCCGCGCCUUCCGUCUUUCGAACUGGCGUCGAACGCGUGCACUUUUCCCCUAGUAGGACGUCGCGAUCCGUUGGGUGUCGGUCUAAGACCUGCGGUGGAGCCCGGACGGACGUUUCGGCGUUCCGUCUGGACCCGUGGUGUUCCGGCCGACUCGCUCGACGGUAUACAGAUGGCGCGGGGCCGCUACCAACUCAGUUAGCGUUCGGCCCGCGGCAAGCGCGUUCGGCGUUUGACGGCGAUCGGACCUCGUUCCGGUCCUGUCCCCGAACGACUGUUGGCCUGCGGUGUUCUCGAACAGACCCCGUUUUGAAACGCCGAUCUGCGACGCUAUAGCUUUGGGUACUUUCAGGACCCGUCUUGAAACACGGACCAAGGAGUCUAGCAUGUGCGCGAGUCAUUGGGACAUAACUAAACCUAAAGGCGUAAUGAAAGUGAAGGUCCGCCUCGCGCGGAUCGAGGGAGGAUGGGCGGUUCGCCCUUAAAGUGGCCGCCCCGCACUCCCGGGGCGUCUCGUUCUCAUUGCGAGAAGAGGCGCACCAAGAGCGUACACGCUGGGACCCGAAAGAUGGUGAACUAUGCCUGGUCAGGACGAAGUCAGGGGAAACCCUGAUGGAGGUCCGUAGCGAUUCUGACGUGCAAAUCGAUCGUCGGAACUGGGUAUAGGGGCGAAAGACUAAUCGAACCAUCUAGUAGCUGGUUCCCUCCGAAGUUUCCCUCAGGAUAGCUGGCGCUCGUAGCGCACGAGUUUCAUCCGGUAAAGCGAAUGAUUAGAGGCAUUGGGGUCGAAACGACCUCAACCUAUUCUCAAACUUUAAAUGGGUGAGAUCUCCGGCUUGCUCGAACUCUUUGAUGAAGCCGCGAGACUCGAAUCAGAGUGCCAAGUGGGCCAUUUUUG